rnacentral:rRNA from 1 species
CUACUGGGGUUUCUAAUCCUGUUUGCUCCCCACGCUUUCGCGUCUCAGCGUCAGUUGCGUUCCAGAGAGCCGCCUUCGCCACGGGUGUUCUUCCUGAUAUCUGUGCAUUCCACCGCUACACCAGGAAUUCCACUCUCCUCUCCCGCACUCUAGCCACCCAGUUUCCCACGACCGCCUGCGGUUGAGCCGCAGGAUUUCACGCAGGACUUAAGUGGCCGCCUACACGCUCUUUACGCCCAAUGAUUCCGGACAACGCUCGGUCCCUACGUAUUACCGCGGCUGCUGGCAC